rnacentral:rRNA from 2 species
CAGCCGCCGCGGUAAAACCAGCACCUCAAGUGGUCAGGAUGAUUAUUGGGCCUAAAGCAUCCGUAGCCGGCUCUGUAAGUUUUCGGUUAAAUCUGUAUGCUCAACAUACAGGCUGCCGGGAAUACUGCAGAGCUAGGGAGUGGGAGAGGUAGACGGUACUCGGUAGGAAGGGGUAAAAUCCUUUGAUCUAUUGAUGACCACCUGUGGCGAAGGCGGUCUACCAGAACACGUCCGACGGUGAGGGAUGAAAGCUGGGGGAGCAAACCGGAUUAGAUACCCGGGUAGUCCCAGCUGUAAACUUUGCAAACUCAGUGAUGCAUUGGCUUGUGGCCAAUGCAGUGCUGCAGGGAAGCCGUUAAGUUUGCCGCCUGGGAAGUACGUACGCAAGUAUGAGACUUAGAGGAAUUGGCGGGGGAGCAC